AUUGAACGCUGGCGGCAGGCCUAACACAUGCAAGUCGAGCGGAUGAAGUGAGCUUGCUCCUGGAUUCAGCGGCGGACGGGUGAGUAAUGCCUAGGAAUCUGCCUGGCAGUGGGGGAUAACGUCCGGAAACGGGCGCUAAUACCGCAUACGUCCUGAGGGAGAAAGUGGGGGAUCUUCGGACCUCACGCUAUCAGAUGAGCCUAGGUCGGAUUAGCUAGUUGGUGGGGUAAAGGCCUCCCAAGGCGACGAUCCGUAACUGGUCUGAGAGGAUGAUCAGUCAAAAUGGAACUGAGACACGGUCCAGACUCCUACGGGAGGCAGCAGUGGGGAAUAUUGGACAAUGGGCGAAAGCCUGAUCCAGCCAUGCCGCGUGUGUGAAGAAGGUCUUCGGAUUGUAAAGCACUUUAAGUUGGGAGGAAGGGCAGUAAGUUAAUACCUUGCUGUUUUGACGUGACCAACAGAAUAAGCACCGGCUAACUUCGUG
rnacentral:rRNA from 1 species